rnacentral:misc_RNA from 1 species
ACUGUCUAUAAAUUGAAAGGAUCUACUACGCUCUCUCCAACCCAAAAGCCGUUUAUCAUUUUAAUUUCCAUCAACAUGGCAAAACCUGUCCUUGUUUUUCUCUGUUUGCUUUACUUUUCAAGCACAGCAAGAUCUGCUUCCCCUGCAAAGUCCAGCGCUAGUGCCACAAAUUUCAUCAAGGCCUCUUGUAAAACCACCACUUAUCCUGCACUAUGUGUCCAAUCUCUCUUAGCUUAUGCCACAUCCAUCCAGCAAAACCCACGCCAACUGGCGGAGAAUGCCUUGUCAGUGAGCCUGGCGAGCGCUCAGUCCACCAAGACAUUCAUCUAUAAGUUGACAAAGCUCAACGGAGUGAAGGCCAGAGAAAUGGAAGCCAUUAAGGACUGUUUAGUGGAGGUUGAUGACACUGCGGAUAGGCUUAGCAAGUCGCUUAAAGAGUUCAAGAACAUGGGUCAGAACAAGGACGAUAAGGACUUCCAAUGGCACAUGAGCAAUGUGGAGACUUGGGUUAGCGCUGCUUUGACAGAUGAGAACACUUGUGUUGAUGGGUUUGCUGGUAAGGCCUUGAAUGGGAAGUUGAAGUCUUCGAUUAAAGCAAGAAUUGUAAAUGUUGCUCAGGUGACUAGCAACGCACUUGCUUUGAUUAACAAGUUUGCCUCCAACUCCUAAUUGAUUAAGUUAAUAUAUAUGGCUAAUGUUGUUGCGCGUUCUUAAAAACACCAGCUUCCAUUUUUUUUUAUGUGUGUGUAACAUGAUCUAGUUUUAAUGUGUGUGAG